rnacentral:sRNA from 1 species
AUGGAGGUGAUGACAAUU